rnacentral:rRNA from 1 species
GUGAGACUGCGGACGGCUCAGUAAACCAGUUAUCGUUCAUUUGAUUGUACCAAACCACGUUGGAUAACUGUGGUAAAUCUACAGCUAAUACAUGAAACCCGUCAUCGUCCCGGCGUGCCGUGGAAACGCGGUAAUGUCAGCCGGCGGCGGUAGCAUUUAUUCGCUGUGAUUGUGCAAACCGACACGGAGAGCGUUAGACAACUCCGUUUGUGGUGAUUCUGAAUAACUGUGCAGAUCGUAAGGGGCCAUUGUGUGCCCACGACGUUUCAAUCAAAUUUCUGACCCAUCAACUUGCUGGUAGGGUAGUGGCCUACCAGGGUGUUAACGGGUAACGGGGAAUCAGGGUUCGAUUCCGGAGAGGGAGCCUGAGAAACGGCUACCACAUCCAAGGAUGGCAGCAGGCGCGCAAAUUGUCCAAUCCAGACAUUGGGAGACAGUGACGAGACAUACUGUAUUUCUGCACAAUUGUGUAGAGGUAACGGAAAGACUUCUGCUUAAAUCCAUGGAGGAAUUCUACGGGAGGGCAAGUCUGGUGCCAGCAGCCGCGGUAAUACCAGCUCCCGGAGGCUAUACGUGCGUUGUUGCGGUUAAAAAGCUCGUAGUUGGAUUACGGUGUGGAUGCAUGCUGGUUCGGAGAAGGCGGUCAGGUUUUGAUGGUGCGCUUGCGCACACUGAUUGAUCUGGGCGUCAUGCUCCUCGAGCCUACAUGUGGACGCACUUUUGUCGUGGGGCGUCUCUUGUGCGUGCGCUUGCGUGUGUGUGUGAGAGUCGUUUUCGCGAAGUGUGCCUUGAAUAAAAUAGAGUGCUCAAAGCAGGUGCAAAAUGUGCUGCACGUGUUACGAUAUGGUCGAGCGUGUGUUAAAUCACUGUUAGUCCAUUAGUGUGCGCGCGCUUACAUGAUUGCUCGAAUACUCUAGCAUGGAACGAACGUCUGAUUGCUUAACAACCCUACUGCGCAGUUUGUUGGUGAUGAUCUGCGCAGUGUGCUUGCGUCGCGCGACGGCCUGGGUACGAGAGUCUCAGUCGUUGGCGUGGGCGUUUGUGUGUGUGCGACGACGUCGGUUUGUUGGUGCGUGCGUGUUGGAAUGGGGGCGUGCAAGGCAUGGGUGAACCCUGCGCGUGGCGGUACACGUGCCACUUCUGGCAGCCCCACAGUUGGUGAAAGCCGAUUGUGCGAGGCUGGCUGGAGGUGGGCGUGGAUACCAUGUGCAUGAGAGGGUGUAAGCGUGCCAGCCGUAUGCGCGCGCUUGCGCGUGUGUGGCAAUUGUGCGUUCCCCUGAUGCGCAAUGCGUACUACGCAGAUGGAUGUUGCUGUUCACUUUUGCGUGUCCGUGCCAAGUGCAUGUGGCAUGUGCUCAGACGUGUGCGCGGAGCGACGCAGCGGGGGUAUCGGUUAACAGGAGCAUUUGGGGGCAUUAGUAUUUGACCGCGAGAGGUGAAAUUCUUGGACCGGUCAAAGACUGACAAUUGCGAAAGCAUUUGCCAAGAAUGUUUUCAUUAAUCAAGAACGAUAGUUGGAGGAUCGAAGACGAUCAGAUACCGUCGUAGUUCCAACUGUAAACUAUGCCAACUGGGGCUGAGGUUGGAUCAGUUUGGAUCCGAGUUGGGCCCCCGGGGAAACCUGAAGUGUUUAGGUUCCGGGGGGAGUAUGGUUGCAAGGCUGAAACUUAAAGGAAUUGACGGAAGGGCACCACCAGGAGUGGAGCCUGCGGCUUAAUUUGACUCAACACGGGAAAUCUCACCAGGUCCUGACAUUGGUAGGAUUGACAGACUGACAGAUCUUUCAUGAUUCGGUGGGUGGUGGUGCAUGGCCGUUCUUAGUUGGUGGAGCGAUCUGUCUGGUCAAUUCCGAUAACGAGCGAGACCGGAGUGUUUAUUUUGGCCGUCUGGACCUUGUGGCGCGUGUGCGGCAUUGGCUGAAAGGCCGUGGUGCGCACGCAGUCACGAGAUUGCGGCUCUGUGGGGAGUGUCUGCGACGGCUGGAGCGCGUAUGGGGUAACCCGUGGGCGUUUCUGUUGGAUCGUGUGUGUGUGUGUGCGGGUUCAUGGUGUGGUGCCUUAACGGGUGCAAUAUCAUGCGCGCGCCCACACGCAUGGUUAACUGCAGUGCAUUCUUUGUGCACACCCCGUGUCCAGUACGCCUUCAUAGACAGACGACCGGCGGCAAGCCGGGGGAAGUACGGCAAUAGCAGGUCUGUGAUGCCCUUCGAUGUCCUGGGCAGCACGUGCGCUACAAUGGCAACCGCAGCGAGUUUCUGCGCCGGAAGGCGUGGGUAAUCUUGUGAAUGGUAGUCGUGAUGGGGACUGAGCCUUGAAAUUAUUGCUCACAAACCUGGAAUUCCUAGUAAGUACGAGUCAUUAACUCGGGCUGAAUACGUCUCUGCCCUUUGUACACACCGCCCGUCGCUACUACCGAUUGAGUGGCUGGGCCAGCACUAGGGAUUGGCGGCUGUGCAAACAGUGUGCCGAGAGCUUGUGCCAGCUGGGUCAGUCAGAGGAAGUAAAAGUCGUAACAAGGUUUCCGUAG